CCCAGGUUGAGGCACUGGUGACUGCUACCGUCGAUAUAAAAGGCGCGACGCUUCUUCUUGAAGUCAGUUCACUUGGAGCCUUGCUACAGCCAACAUUAUGAAGGUAAUGACACUGUCGAUGAGCGUUGCCCUCCUGGUGGCCUGCUCUUUUGCUGAACCUGAUGCAAGUUCCUUCUCCACUUACCCUUACGUAGGUGGAAGCUAUGCGCUUUCCAGUUCAGGCAUUGGAGGAGGCUUCGGCUCAUUUGGUGGGGGAACACGUUACGGUUCCUUUGGAGGUGUUGGUGGAGGCUACGGUUUCGGAAGGGGCCCCACGAGUCAUUCCAUUUUCAACUUUGGAGCGCCCCAGGGUAGAUAUGGAGGCAGUUUUGGACGCGGCUUCGAUAGAAGUUACAUCGGAGGAUCCUCUGGCCUAGGUUUCGCUGGUAACUUCCAAGGUUGAAGACUCAGUAAAAACUCCUUUCGGAGUUGUUACAGUGGCAGCUUCAUUGGCAGUGUUUAAGGUAGCGGCUCCACUGGCAAAGUCGGUGUUUUAUAUUGGAAAUGAAUACGGGAAAUGUACGAACAGGUGAACGUAUAGAUUCAAGAAAGUCUGACACCUUAUCGUUAUAUAUAUUUUUUGGUUCAGCACUCACAAAACAACUUUCGUAUAAAAUAAUUUCAAAUAAAAAAUUUAAAGUAAAUUUAAGUGCCGUUUGAUAUGACGGUAUAAGUCCCAGUCGUAUGAAAUUGGACUAAAUACAUAUCAGUAGCAUUCAUGUCUGAAUCAAGGUCCGAAUAUGCACGUCUUUUUUGUAUUUGAUUAUUAUUGAUGUAUUUUAGAAGCAAAAAUAAAGAUUUGUAUUAUGAA